AUUGAACGCUGGCGGCAGGCCUAACACAUGCAAGUCGAACGAGUGGCGGACGGGUGAGUAAUGUCUGGGAAACUGCCCGAUGGAGGGGGAUAACUACUGGAAACGGUAGCUAAUACCGCAUACCAUCGGAUGUGCCCAGAUGGGAUUAGCUAGUAGGUGGGGUAACGGCUCACCUAGGCGACGAUCCCUAGCUGGUCUGAGAGGAUGACCAGCCACACUGGAACUGAGACACGGUCCAGACUCCUACGGGAGGCAGCAGGAGGGAAUAUUGCACAAUGGGCGCAAGCCUGAUGCAGCCAUGCCGCGUGAAUGAAGAAGGCCUUCGGUUUGUAAAGUACUUUCGUCGGGGAGGCGUUACUCACAGAAGAAGCCACGGCUAACUACGUGCCAGCAGCCGCGGUAAUAC
rnacentral:rRNA from 1 species